UGACUGUGUAAUUGUACAAGACAUAUGUUUUCACCUCUUUAGAGAUAUAUUUAUGACAGAAAAAUACUCCUUAAAACUUAUUUGGCAAUGCCAGUAGAAGGUAACAAGGACCAGGCCCUGGCUCCCCUGUCCAGCCCCGUCAGCGCUCUUACUUCUGGAGUCCAAGAAGACAGUGGCCUUUCCAUCCCAGGAAGCAGUUAGCAAGAGCCAGUGGCUACAUGUCCAGAGAAUGUAGAAUUCUGUACAGAAUCCUAGAAAAUCCCAGGCCCUUCUCCAGAUCAACUGUAAGGCUAUCCAGUCAGUGGAUCGAAACUCUCAGGCUGCUGAGCUGCAGGGAUUGGGAGUGGAUGUGUAAGACCAGGAUGUUCUCAAGCAAAGUGUGUUGCAGCAGGUGGACAGGGCCAGUCAGGAGGCAAACCAGGGAGCAGCCAAAGCUGAGCCAGAAGAGUCUGUACUGGAUGACGUCAGGACAAGCAGUUAAAAAAUAUCCGAGCCAAGUAGAAGAGAUUGACGGAGAGAAUAUCCAGAAGCUUGAGGCAGAAUUAUUGAUUGAGGAUGACGAAGGAAGUAGAAAAGGCAAAGACUUCGGGAAAAAGAGGCGAAGAGAGAAGCAGGUGACGAAGAGUCCGAAGUGA
rnacentral:lncRNA from 1 species